rnacentral:tRNA from 1 species
UGGUAAGAAGUGAAUAAUUUACGAUCGGUUUCGGCCCGAAUCUUGGCUAAUUUAGGCCCUUGCUAU